UACGUAGGGUGCAAGCGUUGUCCGGAUUUAUUGGGCGUAAAGAGCUCGUAGGCGGUUUAGCAAGUUGGGUGUGAAAGCCCCCGGCUCAACUGGGGAGGGUCACUCGAUACUGAUCGACUCGAAGGCAGGAGAGGGAAGCGGAAUUCCCGGUGUAGUGGUGAAAUGCGUAGAUAUCGGGAGGAACACCAGUGGCGAAGGCGGCUUUCUGGCCUGCUCUUGACGCUGAGGCGCGAAAGCUAGGGUAGCAAACGGG
rnacentral:rRNA from 1 species